rnacentral:rRNA from 1 species
ACGGGGGGUGCAAGCGUUACUCGGAAUCACUGGGCGUAAAGAGCAUGUAGGCGGAUUAAUAAGUUUGAAGUGAAAUCCUAUAGCUUAACUAUAGAACUGCUUUGAAAACUGUUAAUCUAGAAUGUGGGAGAGGUAGAUGGAAUUUCUGGUGUAGGGGUAAAAUCCGUAGAGAUCAGAAGGAAUACCGAUUGCGAAGGCGAUCUACUGGAACAUUAUUGACGCUGAGAUGCGAAAGCGUGGGGAGCAAACAGGAUUAGAUACCCUGGUAGUCCACGCCCUAAACGAUGUACACUAGUUGUUGUGAGACUUGAUCUUGCAGUAAUGCAGUUAACACAUUAAGUGUACCGCCUGGGGAGUACGGUCGCAAGAUUA